ACUAGCAGAAGAAUAUCACGAUUCUUCUUCUGACCCUUCCCCUCUGUUUAUACUUUAUAUCUUAACCCCGCGGAAGUUUCAAGACUUCACUUUUAUCGAUCACCAACUGGGGCAGCAUCACCGAUAGUCUCUUUCAAUUCCCAAGGUAUGCUCACUUACACUUCCUGAGGAUUGAAUAUUGUUUCUCCUUCUUUUCCCCCUUUUGUUGUGGGAUUUUUUUUAAUAGAUGAUUCAUUCUUGGAAUUUCUUUUCUGGGUAAUGCUCUUUUUUCAUGGAAAUUAUUACCCGGUUGAGACAGAGUUUCUCACUUUGUUGGUUAAUGCAUGUGCUCGAUCAGCAAGUGCUUUCUCUAAUUGAACUGCUGUAAUGUUUUGGGUUCAUUUCUCAACUUUUUGUUUCGGCUAUCCCGUUUUAUUAUUAUUUUUAUUUUAAAAAUGAAAGAAAAGUAGAAUGAGUAAAUAAGUGAAGGAAUUUAUUAAUUAUUUUAUUUAAUUUUUCAUUAUGAUUGUGUUGCUCAUGAUACCGUUUAAACUUAGCUAUUGCUUGUCAACUGGUUGGUGCUCAUUAACUUAUGUUUGACCAUUGUCCAGCUCAGUUGUGUUGUGGUUAGUUGCCAAUUUGUAGAGCCAGCCAAACAAAUUGGGGCUACUCAAAGGUUAAAUUCUUGAGUUACUGAAUAGAAUGUGGAAGACAGUGGAUCAAAUCAAACACUACGAGUACUUCUCAUUGAUUAAUGCCUCCAUUAACAUAAAUGAGUAACCAUCGUAAUUAGGAAAAAG
rnacentral:lncRNA from 1 species